rnacentral:rRNA from 1 species
GACGAACCGUGCGAACGUUGUUCGGAAUCACUGGGCUUAAAGGGCGCGUAGGCGGUGCGGUAAGUCUGCGGUGAAAUCUCCCGGCUCAACUGGGGAGUCUGCCGUGGAAACUGCCGUGCUUGAGUGUGGGAGAGGUGAGUGGAACUGCGAGUGUAGAGGUGAAAUUCGUAGAUAUUCGCAAGAACACCAGUGGCGAAGGCGGCUCACUGGCCCGAUACUGACGCUGAGGCACGAAAGCGUGGGGAGCAAACAGG